UGGACCAAUCACUGACCCAGUUUGCACGAGGGGCAUGCCGCACAAUAGGAUUGGUUGAUUUAAUCUCUGGCGUCCUUUUUCAAAUUUGUGUUACGUUAAACCCUGGCGAUGAGCAUCUCUUACCAGUCGCAAAACGUAAACAGUCUCGGCACUUACAUCGAGUAGUUUACACCGGGGGAAAGAACAAAUAGAGGUCAGUUUACAGGUUGAAAAACCCGUAAAGGGUCAAGUUCAACUAAGAUGUUCAACCAGGGUGUAAAGGCUCUUCUCAGCUGGGUCAGUGCCAGUCACUCUGAAGAAGUGACCAUCAAUGAUUUACAGGAUGGGCUUGUCCUGCUGAAACUCAUUAAUAUGAUGUAA
rnacentral:lncRNA from 1 species